ACGAGCUCAACCCAGCUUCUUCUUCUCCGUCGACCAGCUUCUUCUUCUCUUUUCCUCACCCACAGCGCCACCGCCGGCUACCCUAACCGCCACAGCUACCUUCUCCUUCUUCUCUUCUUCUUCUCCUUCUUCUCCAUCAUCUCCUCCAGUCAAUGCUGCGGCUACCUUUGCGCAAGCCCUAGCUCCGUGGUGACCAAAAUCGGUUUCACCAUCAGCCGCGGUUCCACCUCUCUCUUUCCCCCCUGUUCGAACCGUAGAGAGUUCAAUUAAUUUUGUUUAGUUAGUUUGAUUGUUUCUGCUUCCAGGUUUUGGUUUCAAAAUUCUUUUAAUUUCCGUUGAGUUCAAUUAAUUUCGUUUAGUUAGUUUGAUUUUAGUAAUUAGUUUAGUUAGAUUUGUUUUCUGAUUAGUGUAUUUUUAGGUUGUUAAAAUAGGAUUAGAUUAGGUUUUGAUUCUGAAUAGCUGAAAAAUGUUUAGAUUGUUAAUCUGGAUUGCUGAACAAACAUAAUUCAGAGAAACACUUGUGAGUUUUUCUUUUUUUUCUUCCCUCCCCUCUAUGAAUUUCGCUGUGCACACCAAGUGUUCGAUGGUUUGCUUAUUUGUUGGUUUGACCUAACAUGCACAUCAAAUGUUUGUUGCUUUUCUUUUAUGUGUACAUAAGUAGUAAUAUGUAUCUUUAUUCUUGCUAUUUUACUCUUAAUUAAUUAUUUUUAUGUUGCAAGUUCUGUCAAGGGGAGGGGAGGCUGUAGAGAUGACUACUGACCAUGAACCUAAUAUUGAGCGGGGCAGCAUUGAGAACAGAGGUGGCUUUGUCUCAAACAUGCCAGGUAGCAUGCCAUGACGCUGAGGAGUGAAGAUCUUUUGAGGCAAAGGUUAGGAUCAUGUGAUGUCAUUACCAAAUGUGCUUCUAUACUUGGCGUAUCUAUGUUUAAGUUAAUCAAAUUGGGGGAAGAAAAGAAAAGAAACUUGCAAUUAUAUAGUUUAAGUGUUUCUGCCACUGCCCUUCUUUCUCGCAGCCGGUGAGUAAAUGCUCUUUUUCUCCAGUGUUAUGAAUAGCUCCUUUUUCUCCAGUGCUGGAUUUGGAGUAUAUGUAUGCUUAUUACUGAGUGAAUCACAUUGAAAGUGUAAUGCACAGUUAGUGCUUGACAAAAUGCCUAGCUGGGUUUUGCUGUUCAUUUUGAUCAUGCUUAGGUGUGUUUAUGUGUGCUUAUAUGGUUUCAUGGUUUAUGUGUGCUUAUAUGGUUUCAUGGUUCCUGCUGGUGAAGCUUACACAAAGGCACUUGAGGUUGCCAGGAAUAUCAAUGAGAAGGGGACCAAUGUGGUUCUGAUUUGAUGUAAAUAGGCACCCGCACCACAGCUCGACGGCAAGUCUCGCAACGAUACUUUCGAUCUUGACUUUGAAGAAUGACUUCAAGCAGUUAGAAGGUACAACUUUAGUUCUUCUCAAUUCUGACUCAUCUUUUC